ACUCUAACCUUCUUCCUUCCCUAAGCCGUCUCAAACUUCUGCGAUUUCCUUUCUUCUCACCAUCGUUUCUCCUUGCUUCUCACCAUCGUUUCUCCUUGAUUCUCUUCUCAGCCCUAAGCUUCUGUUCGCCACCAGCUCAAUCGACGAGAAGUGAGGAUCUACUUCUUCUCAAAUACUGCACCGAAGGCGGGUCCACGUUUCCUCUACAAUAUAUUGCAUUCAGCAAAGUACCGGGUAACUCACAGCAGCUUUCCAAAUGUCAAACCAGAACCAGUCGAGCAAAGAAGGAGAGAAGAGUUCUCUCGAACUCCUGUACCACCUCUCCAUUUAUCACCACGUGGCCGGCAAGAAUUUCUACAACACAUUGCAGACCAGCAGCAUGGAUAUGAUUUUACUAGUCCUAGCUACUUCUUAGAUGACUUACCGAGGGUUCAACGGCAAGCACGGUUUCAGCCUACAACCAAUAGGAGUGAAGGACUUGAAUCUAAUUCUCCAGAGCCUACAAGGGAAGGAUAUGUAGUUCCUAUUUUAGUGGAUGUGACUGAUCUUUUGCGAGCUCCUGGACGGUCUCACCUCCCAGUCCUUUGUCCAGAUCGUGAAGGCAAUGAUAUUUGGUAAAUCCUGUCCAUGAACCUUACGCUUGAAAAUUUAUAUUUGCUGUUACCAAAAGUGUAUUCUAAUUUGCUGAUCACAAUGCAUGUUUAGAAGUGAUCCUUCGAGGAAGAUUACGAAGCAGCUUCUAAUGAUGCUUAAGUCUGAUCUCCCUGGUCCAUGUCCCACUUAUCGUUCCUUACUACCAGAAAAGAAAAACCGUUGGUUUAGAGGAUUUUCACAAGAGUUCCACUGGGACGUGAGCAUCAAUGAGCAUGUCUGGACAAAAAACAUGAAGCAAGCAGACAAGGCAUGGAUGAAGGCGAGGAAACGUUUGUUUGAUGGUUACAUAAAGAUGUGGACAUAUGAGAACAAGAUCAAGCAAGCUGAGAAAAAUUCCAAGAACCGAGGAAGUCAAAGGGGCGGAUUAGGUGUUGCUAAACACAACAACGGUGCAAAAACAUUUCAACGUCGUUGGGAUGAAUUGAUGCCGCCGAGAUGUGUUAGGAUUCGUGCUGCCCGACCAUGGGAACUGCCAAGAGUGAGCAAGUACAGUUCGGAGGAUUCUGUGAUUCCAUCGGAGCGUGUGAGACGUAUCUUGAAUCGAUCAAAGAAAGAAUCGUACAUGGCUACAAGUCCUUCACUAACUUUGGUGGAAUCGAUUGACACUAGGAAAAUAGAAGGUUCCGAGUCUUCCAUCGAGACUGACCCUUCCGAGGAUUUGGAUGAAUUUAGUGAUGACGAUGAGAUCAUCAUCUGGAUCAAAGAUCACAUGAAUGAAGAAUCAGAAUCUUUGGCAGAGCUAUGUCCAGAUGGAUUCCAAUUACAAAUUACUUUGAAAUCUCCGUCAGUUCGAUCCAUGAACCUUUGAUUCCAUUGAGUGGGUUUGUCCAAGUUACUACAUUAAAUAUGAUUGUGUUGACAGAUGGUUCAGAAGGUUGUGAGUGAUAAAUUAAAGGAAAGAAAGAAAAAACAGAUUCCUCACACUUGUAGCCGUAAAGGAAUGGUUAGACUAAGAGAAGAAAUGAAAAUGAAAAUCCCAGAGCCAUCUAAGGUAUCGAGGCUGAAAUUUUGGGUUAAGUCGCGUACCCCAAAAGAUGGUACGCCAGUGAAUACAAAUGCUGCUGAAAAGAUUAAAAAAGCUGCUGAGGUUGAUACUGGGGCACAUUCAUCACCAACAGAUAAUCCAAAGGGAGAUCUCGUUGCCCAAGUUUUAGGAGCUGAUAAUCUUGGACAGUUGAGAGUAAUGGGUAGAGGAAUGAGUAUGUCCAAAUUUUCUUGUUUCCAAGUAAAUAAUGAGUGUAUGGAUCAUAUGCAAGAAAAGCAUUUUUAGAUGCAUAAACGGGUAAAGGACUUAGAAGAUGUCAUUGCCAAAAUGCGGGAAAACCAGUAGGUCAGUUAGCCCUUUGUUAACAUUGGUUGAUUAGAAAAUUGAAUAAUUGUUUGAUUCUUUAUGGCAAUAAAUUUGGUUUU